rnacentral:rRNA from 1 species
CAAUAGCGUAUAUUUAAGUUGUUGCAGUUAAAAAGCUCGUAGUUGGAUUUCUGCUGAGAACGACCGGUCCGCCCUCUGGGUGUGUAUCUGGCUCUUUCUUGGCAUCUUCUUGGGGAACGUUACUGCACUUGACUGUGUGGUGCGGAGCCCAGGACCUUUACUUUGAGGAAAUUAGAGUGUUUCAAGCAGGCAUUUGCCUUGAAUACACUAGCAUGGAAUAAUAAGAUAGGACCUCGUCCCUACCUUGUUGGUUCGUAUGGAUGAGGUAAUGAUUAAUAGGGAUAGUCGGGGGCAUUCGUACUUAACUGUCAGAGGUGAAAUUCUUGGAUUUGUUAAAGACGGACUACUGCGAANGNAUUUGCNAAGGAUGUUUNCAUUG